UACGUAGGUCCCGAGCGUUAUCCGGAUUUAUUGGGCGUAAAGCGAGCGCAGGCGGUUAGAUAAGUCUGAAGUUAAAGGCUGUGGCUUAACCAUAGUACGCUUUGGAAACUGUUUAACUUGAGUGCAGAAGGGGAGAGUGGAAUUCCAUGUGUAGCGGUGAAAUGCGUAGAUAUAUGGAGGAACACCGGUGGCGAAAGCGGCUCUCUGGUCUGUAACUGACGCUGAGGCUCGAAAGCGUGGGGAGCAAACAGGAUUAGAU
rnacentral:rRNA from 1 species